GACGUAGGGCGCGAGCGUUAAUCGGAAUUACUGGGCGUAAAGCGUGCGCAGGCGGUUCGUUAAGUCAGAUGUGAAAGCCCCGGGCUCAACCUGGGGACUGCAUUUGAAACUGGCGGGCUUGAGUGUGGCAGAGGGGGGUGGAAUUCCGCGUGUAGCAGUGAAAUGCGUAGAGAUGCGGAGGAACACCGAUGGCGAAGGCAGCCCCCUGGGCCAACACUGACGCUCAGGCACGAAAGCGUGGGGAGCAAACAGG
rnacentral:rRNA from 1 species